rnacentral:rRNA from 1 species
UACGUAGGGUGCAAGCGUUAAUCGGAAUUACUGGGCGUAAAGCGUGCGCAGGCGGUUUUGUAAGUCUGGCGUGAAAGCCCCGGGCUCAACCUGGGAAUUGCGAUGGAGACUGCAAGGCUUGAAUCUGGCAGAGGGGGGUAGAAUUCCACGUGUAGCAGUGAAAUGCGUAGAGAUGUGGAGGAACACCGAUGGCGAAGGCAGCCCCCUGGGUCAAGAUUGACGCUCAUGCACGAAAGCGUGGGGGGCAAACAGG